AAGCUGCAACUUUGGGGAGGUUGGAUCAUGUUACUGAAGCAGAUUGGAAGCUUCCACCAGUAACAUAGUUAUCUUGGUGCCAGGAACAGCUGUAGAUCGGCCUCAGGCAAAUGGAACAUAAAUUGAGAGCCAGCAUCGCAGGAGGCACGAAUGUAAAUGAUGGGAAAUCUGUAACCAAGUCUGCCCACAAGGACACACCACGGCGUGACCUGCAGUGUGGACCCUGAGGGUAAGGAGGCACUGGGGGUAAGGGGGCCUCGUCUUCUGCCCCUUCCUCAGUGUGCCCAGAAAUUCAGCUCUCCAUCAAACAACCAACCAACCAACCUUUGCUUCGGGACCAGGAUCCAUGAAGACUUGUUCACAACCUCUCAAUGAAGAAAUGAACUUGUCUGAAAAUACUUUGCCUGUGCCACUGAAACAAAAGCAAAAGCAAGGAUUAUGUCCUAAAUUAAACACUUCCCUAUAUCCUGAAAAUCAUCACCAGUAACACCAAUAAACUGCUUUAAAUUCCUA